rnacentral:lncRNA from 1 species
CAACAAAGGAUUUAUAAUAAGUCCAAGAAAGCUGAGGUAUCACUGGAAUUCCCUGUAAGCAACACUGACAUACUUUAUCACAUGUAAAAUCCUCAAAUUUAAUGUACAGUACUGGAAUAUGUCCCCUAGGUAUUUUAUGUUUUCUGUGGCUCUAAGUCCUAAGCAACUGCCAUCAUGAAGGAGAAUCAAGACUGCUAAGUAAAGGAGCUUGGUCACACUCAUUUGGUUACUGAUACAGAAACUCAAAUCUGGAAGCAACUGUGCUGGAAAAGGGUAGUGCGAGAAAUGGGCCUAAUAACCAGUGCCCUUAUGAGAAGAGGACAGGAUCCACAGAGAAUACCUAGAGCAGAAGGCCAUCUAAAGGCAGAAGCAGAGACUGGAGUAAUACACCCACCAGGGAAGGUAGGUUUGCCAGAGAAAAUCGCAUGCCGAGCUCACCUUGUCCGUGGACCAGCACACAAGCCAUGCCUGGACACCUCCCUCCACCAAGGCUGCCAGUCAGGGGAUUUCAGGUGGUUUCUUCAAUCGGAGUCUUGGCAGUUCUACACCUGUCCUCACUCCACAUGGGAUAUACGUGUAGAGACUACAUCGUGCUUUAACCUUGAGCGCUACUUCUUAAACCAAAAGUAAAUUUAAACUAAGGACCCAUUUCAGCCAAACUUUCCCAAGCAAUUCUACUUUCUUCUCUCUCUUAUGCUUCUACUCAGCAGGGGGAAGAAAAAUGGACCAUGUUAUAACAAAUAACAUGGCGGUGAACUCUGUGGAUGGUGGAGUUGUUCUGUGUGCUCCAGUUCCUACCGAGAUUGUGCCUAACUCAUCAUGAAUCUCAGCAGCAGCAGCAUGGACACCAUCACCAGCAGAAGCGUUUGCAAGUAUCCAAUUAUGGGUUAGAGACUCUGCAAGGAAAUUACAUUCACCCAGCACCUGGCCAGAACCUAAGACUUGUUUCAGCACUUCUUGCAAUUAGCAGAGGGCAGUUGCCUCCGUGGUGUGUAGCCAGUUGGGGUGAUGAGCAAUUCUCCCCACAAAAGCCUCAUGAGACAUCUGGUGACUGAGUUCGCAAUGGCACUGCCUCAGUGUGUGUGCCCAUAAAAAGACUCCCAGAUGAAUAAUGGGUGUUGGACCUAGAAUGA